UAGGGAAUCUUCGGCAAUGGACGGAAGUCUGACCGAGCAACGCCGCGUGAGUGAAGAAGGUUUUCGGAUCGUAAAGCUCUGUUGUUAGAGAAGAACGUUGGUAGGAGUGGAAAAUCUACCAAGUGACGGUAACUAACCAGACAGGGACGGCUAACUACGUGCCAGCAGCCGCGGUAAUACGUAGGUCCCGAGCGUUGUCCGGAUUUAUUGGGCGUAAAGCGAGCGCAGGCGGUUCUUUAAGUCUGAAGUUAAAGGCAGUGGCUUAACCAUUGUACGCUUUGGAAACUGGAGGACUUGAGUGCAGAAGGGGAAAGUGGAAUUCCAUGUGUAGCGGUGAAAUGCGUAGAUAUAUGGAGGAACACCGGUGGCGAAAGCGGCUCUCUGGGCUGUAACUGACGCUGAGGCUCGAAAGCGUGGGGAGCAAACAGG
rnacentral:rRNA from 1 species